AGUGAACGCUGGCGGUAGGCCUAACACAUGCAAGUCGAACGGCAGCACAGGAGAGCUUGCUCUCUGGGUGGCGAGUGGCGGACGGGUGAGGAAUACAUCGGCAUCUACCUUUUCGUGGGGGAUAACGUAGGGAAACUUACGCUAAUACCGCAUACGACCUACGGGUGAAAGCAGGGGAUCUUCGGACCUUGCGCGAUUGAAUGAGCCGAUGUCGGAUUAGCUAGUUGGCGGGGUAAAGGCCCACCAAGGCGACGAUCCGUAGCUGGUCUGAGAGGAUGAUCAGCCACACUGGAACUGAGACACGGUCCAGACUCCUACGGGAGGCAGCAGUGGGGAAUAUUGGACAAUGGGCGCAAGCCUGAUCCAGCCAUACCGCGUGGGUGAAGAAGGCCUUCGGGUUGUAAAGCCCUUUUGUUGGGAAAGAAAUCCAGCUGGUUAAUACCCGGUUGGGAUGACGGUACCCAAAGAAUAAGCACCGACUAACUUCGUGCCAGCAGCCGCAGUAA
rnacentral:rRNA from 1 species